AUUGGGCAUGGUGGCGCGGGCCUGUAAUCCCUGAGACUGGGGAGGCUGAGGCUGGAGAAUUGCAAGUUAGGAACGAGCCUCAGCCUCAGCUAUUUAGCAAGGCCUUAAGCAACUUAGCAAGACCCUGUCUCUA
rnacentral:sRNA from 1 species